AUUGCACGCUGGCGGCAGGCCUAACACAUGCAAGUCGAGCGGCGCGGCGUACGGUUGAGUAAUGCCUAGGAAUCUGCCUGGUAGUGGGGGAUAACGUCCGGAAACGGGCGCUAAUACCGCAUACUAUCAGAUGAGCCUAGGUCGGAUUAGCUAGUUGGUGGGGUAAAGGCCUACCAAGGCGACGAGCCGUAACUGGUCUGAGAGGAUGAUCAGGCAAACUGGAACUGAGACACGUUCCCGACUCCUACGGUAGGCAGCAGUGGGGAAGAUUGGACAAUGGGCGAAAGCCUGAUCCAGCCAUGCCGCGUGUGUGAAGAAGGUCUUCGGAUUGUAAAGCACUUUAAGUUGGGAGGCGUUACCAACAGAAUAAGCACCGGCUAACUUCGUGCCAGCCGCCGCGGUAAUUC
rnacentral:rRNA from 1 species